UUAAGCGAAAUUUUGUAUGGAAUUGAAAAGUUUGCUUAUGUUUGCCGCUAGGGGCAUUGUUCCAACUGCAUAUAAAUUUGAGUUA
rnacentral:pre_miRNA from 1 species